UACAGAGGGGGCAAGCGUUAUUCGGAAUUAUUGGGCGUAAAGGGCGCGUAGGCGGCCUGGCAAGUGGAAGGUGAAAUCCCUCGGCUUAACCGAGGAACUGCCCUCCAAACUGCUUGGCUUGAGUACGGGAGAGGUGAGUGGAAUUCCCAGUGUAGCGGUGAAAUGCGUAGAUAUCAGGAGGAACACCUGUGGUGUAGACAGCUUACUGGACCAUUUCUGACGCUGAGACACGAAAGCGUGGGUAGCAAACAGG
rnacentral:rRNA from 1 species